AGUGACAGCAGUGCUUACAGGAAAUUUACAGCAUUGAAUGUAUAUAAUAGAAAAGAUCCUUUAGGCGUUGCCAUGCUGUCUUCCUCAAUGAAUGAACUAAUUUCAAUUAUCACCAACACUGUAAAAGCAUUAUUAUUUCUCCACAGCCUCACCAACAUCUAUUGUUUAUUGACUUUUAAAAAAUUGCCAUUCUGUCUGACUUGAGAUGGUAGCUUAUUGUGGUUUGAAUUUGAAUUUCUCUGAUAAGUGAUGUUGAGCUUUAUUUCAUGUUUGUUGGCCAGGUAAAUGUCUUCUUUUAAGAAGUAUCUGUUCAUAUCCUUUGCCCAUUUUGUGAUGGGUUGUUUGUUUUUUUCUUGUAAAUUUGUUUAAGUUCCCUGAAGAUUCCGGUUAUUAGUCCUUUGUCAGAUGGGUAGAUUACAAAAAUUGUCUUCCAUUUUGUAGAUUACCUAUUCACUCUGAUUGUUUCUUUUGCUGUGCAGAAGCUCUUUAGUUUAAUUAGAUCCCAUUUGUCAAUUUUGGCUUUGGUUGCAAUUGCUUUUGGCAUUUACAUCAUAAAGUCUUUGUCCUUCCUUAUGUCCUGAAUGGUAUUGCUAGGUUUUCUUGUAGAGUUUUUAUGGUUUUGGUUUUUACAUUUAAGUCUUUAACUCAUUUUGAGUUAAUUUUUGCAUAAGGAUAAGGAAGGGAUCCAGUUUCAGUUUUCUGCAUAUGGCUAGCAGGUUUUCCCAGCACCAUUUAUUGAAUAAAAGAUCCUUUCCCUAUUGCUUUUGUCAGGUUUAUUGAGGAUCAGAUGGUUGUAGAUGUGUGGUGUUAUUUUGGGUCUCUGUUCUGUUUUAUUGGUCUAUAUGUCUGUUUUGGUACCAGUAGCAUGCUGUUGUAACAUUUAUUGUAGCCAUGUAGUAGUUUGAAGUCAGGUAACAUCUGAAGUCAGAUGCUUCCAGCUUAAUCCUUUUUGCUUAGCAUUGUCUUGGCUUUAUGCAGUCUUUUUUGAUUCCAUAUGCAAUUUAAAGCAGUUUUUUAUAACUCUGUGAAGAAUGUCAAUGGUAAUUUCAUGGGAAUAGCAUUGAAUCUAAAAAUUAAUUUGGACAGUAUGGCCAUUUUCAUGAUAUGGAUUCUUCCUAUUCAUGAGGAUGGAAUAUUUUUCCAUUUGUUUGUGCCUUCUCUUAUUUUCUUGAACAGUGGUUUGUAGCUCUUCUUGAAGAAGUCCUCACAUCCCUCAUUAGAUGUAAUCUUAGAUAUUUUAUUCUCUUUGUAGUGAUUGUGAAUGGGAGUUCAUUCAUGAUUUAGCUCUCUGCUUGCUAUCGUUAAUGUAAAGUAAUGCUUGUGAUUUUUACACAUUGAUUAUCUAUCCUGAAACUUUGCUAAAGUUGCUUAUCUAGAACCAGAAAUACCAUUUCACCCAGCAAUUCUAUUACUUGGUAUAUGCCCAAAGGAAUAUUAAUCAUUCUACCGUAAAGACACAUGUACAUGCAUGUUUACUGCAGCAAUCUUUAGCAAAAUCGUGAAACCAACCCAAAAUGAUGGACUAGAUAAAGAAAGUGUAGCAUAUAUACACCAUAGAAUACUAUACACCAUGGAACACAGUCAUAAGUUAGAUAAUGAGAUCUAAAGAUGGGAUCAUGUCCUUUGCAGGGACAUGGAUGAAGCUGGAAGCUAUCAUCAUCAGCAAACUAACACAGGAACAGAAAACCAAACACACAUGUUCUCACUCAUAAGUGAGAGUUGAACAAUGAGGACACGUGGACACAGGGAGAGGAACAACACACACCAGAGCCUGUUGGGAGGUGGGGUGUGAGGGGAGGGAGCUUAGAGGAUGGUCAAUAAAUGCAGCAAACCACCAUGGCACACAUAUACCUUUGUAGUAAACCUGCACAUUUUGCACAUGUGUAAUGGAACAGAAGGAGUUACUUACGUUUACAAGUCAUGGACAGACUCUAUAUCUUCAUUUCCUUAUCAUUGGGAGUAUUCCGAGCUCAGAAUUUUCCCAACGCAAAAAAAGGCUCUGAAGAGCUGGAUCUGGGAACCUGGCCAGUUCCCAGAUCCAAUUUUUGGUAAACACCUCAAGGAUGUUAGUUACAUGAUGAAGACGUGGACAGUGUCCUGACUUGACCCUUAUUUGUUUUAAAAAGCAUAAAAGAUUGUUUAGCAGAAGCCGAGCUGAGCUUUGGUGGUGACUUGGUCUGGACUUGUGAAAACCCAUGCUGCUUUACUGCUGGUGUUGAAGUUUGUGAGCAUCUCUAGGUAUCCUUGUAAAUAAACUCUUUUUCUUUCCUUGUAAAUAAACUCUCUUUCUUUUCUCUAUAUACCUCAGCUGGUGUUUUUUCUUCCCACGAAUCUGCCUGAAAAGAUUAGAAAAUCCAAGCUUGGUACUGAGCAGUGCUCACACAAAAUUGGCGUAGUCGGCAGGAUUCGGGGAGAAGGAGUGCAUCAUGCCUUUCUUUAAAAAAGAUGUUAAAACUGUUGUUAGUGAAAUUCCUGGUUGGGAAGAUCCUGUGUUUGUUUCUGUUGCUCGUAAUUGGGCCUCCAGCACUGGCCUAAGUGAAAAUUGGGACGGCCGCCUUAGGACGGCUGAUCCCGCACAGGUAUGUGAAGUUUUGGACCUGGUGCUGGUAGAUGAAGGAAAGGAGUUAGCUGCCAUUAGUAGACAAGGCUGGAUUUUGCUGUCUGCUUAUAGGAAACAAUACUUAGCUCGCCAAGCCCUUAUACAGGAAAAAUUGCAGUUAGAAAAAGAAUUGGCUGAUUUACAAAGCAAAUUGUCUAUGUUACAAUGUCAGAAUUUUAUCCUUGGUGACCAGGCAAGAAUAUAUCAGGGAGUAGCCGAAAAGGCUGCUGUAUGGUGUGCACAGUAUAAAUAUAAAAAACGAAAGGGGAAGGUGAAUGCAAAGAAGGUGCAUGCUGUCAUUGCAACUGCUAAAGCUGAUUGGGACCCCGAUACUUGGGAUGAUGACAUUUAGGAUAAUACUGAUGAGGAACCUGAUUGGGAUGAGCUAGAUGAAGAGGCUAGAAAGUAUCAUCCCCCUCUUUCUACCAAAAAGGAGGCACAAAAAUAUAUUGGCUUAUUUGGAUACUGGAGACAUCAUAUACCCCAUUUGGGAAUGCUAUUACAACCACUUUUUAAAGUAACUAGGAAAAAAUACCAAUUUGAAUGGACUCAAGAUCAACAGGACGCUUUUGAGAGAACUAAAGAGGCAAUCCAGCAAGCCUUAGAUUUAUGGCCCCUACAGUCAGGACCUGUUGAAUUAAUGACUAGUGUAGAAAGUGAACAUGCUAAUUGGAGUCUUUGGCAAAAGCAGAAUGGUAAACGGGUUCCAUUAGGAUUUUGGUCUCGAAAAUUGCCCCAAUGUAAAAACCCAUAUACCCAAUUAGAACAACAAUUAUUAACUGCUUACUGGGCCUUAUCUGAAACAGAACAUUUAACCACAGAUAAAGAAGUAAUCUUACGCCCUCAAAUUCCAAUAAUGCGGUGGGUACUUUCUGACCCACUAUCACAUAAGAUUGGACGUGCCCAAGAAUCCCAUGUCAUUAAAUGGAAAUGGUAUAUACAAAAUUGUGCUAAACCAGGCCCCACUGGAGUUUUGCAGCUACGUGAAAAGGUUUUUUCUUGCCCAACUGAUGAAGGUAAUCAUGAUCAACUCGUUAAACAUAUUGACAGUAAAGUUUGGGCUAAUAAAGGAUAUGACUCUUUAAGUAAGGAACAACAGAAGCACGCAUGAUUUACAGAUGGCUCUGCUAAAUAUAUAGGGGGAAAGCGUCACUGGAAAGCUAUAGCAUAUAAUCCCGCUCUAGAUUGUACACUAGAAGCUAGUAGAGCAAACGGCAGCAGCCAACUCGCCAAAUUACACGCAGCCUGGCUGUGUCUGGAAAAGGAAUAUGGGGGAGAAUGUCAUGUGUUCACAGAUUCCUGGUCUGUGUAUAUGGGAUUAUUAACCUGGAUUGCACAAUGGCAGCAUGAUAAUUGGAAGAUUCGUGACCAUGAUUUAUAGGGAAAGGACUUAUGGCAAAAUAUAUGGAUUGUAUUGCAAAGUACUAAUGUUUCUGUUUUCCACGUAGAUGCUCACAUGCCUACUGACUCUAUUGAACGUAUUUACAAUAAGAAGACUGACCAAUUAACUAAAAUUAGCUCUAAUACCCUGAAGAUCAUCCCAAGUGCCCAAAAUGGGUGCGCGAACACACUGGACAUGCAGGAGCCAAAGCUACGUACAGGAUUUUUAUCUCAAAACAAAGAAAAGGCAAUGAGUACAACUGAAGAAAUCCAAAGGGUACAAGUAGAUUGCUGGCUACUUGGGAAGAUGUGGUGGGAAAACACUUUCUUACAAACUAACAAGGUUCUCAUGCUCACAAGGAAGGCACGAGAGAAAAAGAAGGUGAAAGUUGCUUUUGUGGUUCAGAGGACCGAGGAACAAAUAACAGGUAACAUCUGAUCUCCUCAGCAAGAUGAAGAUGUGUAUUGAAGAGAAAUGCAUUGUUUUCAAGCAUGGCAGGGAGUUUUAAAGAUGCCCACAAAUAGAACUGUUCUGAUUAGCAUUUCCUGAGAAUCGAGCAAAUUCAGAUUUAGGAAACACUUGUUAGGGACAAACUGUGCGCAAAGCAUAGCACAAAACACUUUCACAAAUAUUUUAUUUUUGUAACAGCAUUGUAAGCUAGGCAUUUGGUCAGCUAGCCUUCCUACUUCUUUCCUUUCUGUCUUUCCAGCAUCUAUAAUUCACCUCUUAGGUACCAAGCCAUGGUCACUGAUAGAAUCAUAAAGCAUCAUCCCUGCCCUCAGGGAGCUCACAGUUUUUUAGGAGGAACAGAUUGUACUGACAGUAUAGGAUCACCUCCUUCAUGCUUGAAAUAACAAAGCCAUAUAUUUAGGGGAGUCUGUGGCAGAUGAGGAGCCAUGUUUGACUUGUUUUUCCAGAAUGUCUUAUGUUUCUAUGGAUUUUUCUACUUGUACUCAUUUCAAUUCUCAUCCCUAUGUUUUCCUAACAGCCUUCAUUGAAGCUCCUUUUAAAAAUCCACAAUGCCCAGUUUUUUGUUUCUUCCCUACUCACUCUUCAUAAAAGAAUCAAUGAGGAGUAGUAGUGAUGAGUAUUGAGUGUUCUCAAAGAAAUAUCUGGGUUUCUCAAAUCAUUAUAUGAUCUCACAGCUUUAUCAGCUCUUUAGUGUUCAGAGCCAAGUAUUCCAGAAGUUUGUAUGCUCCUGACACUGUGGCUUUUUUUUCAUUGAUGCUUUCUGGAAAAACAGGCUAUCCAGAAAAUGCAAGCUUCCCUUAUUACUUCAAGAUACUUUUUCCUCUGCACUUUCCUAUUACUUACCACUUAUUAGUACUUGCCAUUAUUGCCUAAUAUUCAUCACUUCUUAUUAGUUGCCCCAAGUGAUUGAGUCUUUUGAGCCAUCAUUUAACAUUAAUAUCAACAUAAACAGGUCAUACUAAAGCUAGGCCAUGUUUGUUAAGAGUCUCAUACAAGCACAUUCUUCCACAAAAAGCUACAGAGUUCCAACAACAGCAGCAACCACAAUAGUAAUGAUAUCUGUGACUCCACCCAAAUCAGCCUCUUCUGUUCCUAGGAGAAAAAAAAAUAUUCCAGGGUAAAAGAGAAGGUUGAGAAAAGAGAGAGAAGAGAAAAAAGACAAGGGGAAAAGUUAAGUAAAAAGGAAAACAGGUCUUCAGCUCCUAGGUAACUUCAGAGUAUGUUCUGGUCUGCUGGAUCUUGUGAGGCAGGUACUCCAUUUUUCAGCUUGCCUGGAUACUGAUGAACAAUUUCUAGGUCAGAAAAAUUCUAUCUAGAUGGAGUCUGCUUUCUACUGCAUGAGGAUUUCACUCCUGAUAUCAUCAGUAAACUUCUUUCUCACUCAGCUAAACCUACCUUUCUGACUUACAAGAGAAAAAUACUCUCUUAAGGUAGUAAUACAAUAAUAAAGUCAGCAGGCAGAGAAAUUCUAGGCAGACAAGGGCAGGUCCCUGGCAAAAACCCACCUUCAAGCCAAAAAGCCUGAAACUGCUACCCAAAAUAAGAACUGAUAUCCCUGUUUUCCUGCUCAAAUGUUGCCUUUUUGUAACCCACCCAUGACCCUGCCCUGCCUCAUCUUGUGCCUAUAAAAACCCCAGACUCAACUGGUAUAUGAGAUUAUAGCUGAACAUCAGAGAGAAACUCCUUGACUUCAGAGGGACAGCUUGAUGACAUAACUUUGGAUAAUCUUGCCAUAGAUGGCUGGACUUCAGGGGAAGAUUAUCUACUCAUCCUGCCCCUUUUAAGUUUCUUUUCCCACUGAGAGCCACGUUAAUUGGCAAUAAAAUCCUCCCCAUUUACCAUCCUUCAAUUUGUCCAUGCAACCUCAUAAUUUUCCUGGAUGCUGGACAAGAGCUUGGAAGUCACGAGUGCAGAUACAAAAGGCUGUCACACUGCCCUUUGCUCUUGCUGUUGGAGGGUAGACACCUCACACAAAAAGGCAAACGGCCCACUGAGCUGUUAACUCUUAAGCUGAGCACUGUAACAUGCCCUCUGGAGUUUGAGGAAUCACAGGAACCCCUGCCUGAAUGCUGCCACAGGGCCUGCAUGAAGCUCACUCUUGCUGACACUAAAGCAUCCAGCCAGUUCCUGCACCCACUCACCUGCAUGUUCCCUCCCAUGAGGAGAGGAAUGCAGGGUGUCCCAUACUUGUUUGCUCUCACACUCUCUCCCAUGAGGAGUUGAGAGCGGUGGGCUGAGUAAAUGAGGCACCCUGUCAUGAGUCCUGCAAAGAGGUCAGAGAAAUAACCUGCCUCAGUAUUAGUGGAGGCUAAUAUUUGACUCUGAUGGUGGGUCCUAUGCCUUUUGUUCUCCUUGACAUUCUGUAUUUAUUCCUUAGCAUAAACUCAGAGGCAUAUGAUGGCCAAAUGUUUAUUUGUGAUGCAGAGACCCUGGGAUCCCAAUGCUCAUUAUUCAUCUUCUACAGUGAAGUCACAACAUCUACAUAUUUUUCACAUGGGAAAACCUGAUACUGCAUUCUCAUUAGUAAGGUUUGAACCUUCUACCUCCUUCAGACCUCAUUUCAGCAAAACUGUCUAUAAUAUGCAUGAUAUAAAGUAAUAAAUCCUGACAUUGCAAACCAUAAUAUUAUAGAAUUUGCCGUCUUCCUAGAUAUUUGAUGAUUAUCUUAAAGGUAGACUGAUAUGGAUAUUCAGGAAGCCAUACGGACUUACCCUAUUUUAUUAUUUAUACUAGCUCAGAGUUAUUUCUCUGUACUCAGACAUAAGAAUUACUACAUAAGGUUGGUUAUAUAAGAUAUGUGCUCGAUUCUAUGGGUAACUUAAAUAAUUUUCAAGAGUUUUUUUAAUGUAAUGCUUUAAUUAUCCCUGAUUCAGAUCCAAAUAUUCUGUGAAAUGCAGGUCCACUAUGGAAUCUACACAUUUCCACCCUGUGCCUUUACUCUGGCUACUGUAGGUAAGGUACACCCUCCUUCCACUCAAAUCAAAUACUAUUCAGUCUUUAAAACCAAACUGAAAGCUCUCUUUUCAUGAAACAUUUUUGGUACUCCUAGUCCAAAGCAGCAUCUCUCUUCUCUUGGUUCACCACCAUCUGUGCUGGCAUCUCUCUCAUUCUAUCUUGCCUCAACUGAUAGGCAUGCCUGGCUUUUCCACCUGAGUAGAAACCUCCUUGAGGGCUCUCAGAAAUUGUGAUUCUCUUUACUUCCUUUGGGAUGACCAACACUGAGCUAUGCUUUAAUACCUGUUUAUUGAGUUACAGAAAUAAACAGAUAGGUAUUAGGAAAAUAGGAAAAUACCCUAGAUGUUCCAAGCCCAGGCUACUUCUAUUUAAAUGAUCUGUGGGAAAGAUACUUUUCUUAAUGGGUUAGGCUUGAGGUUCUUUUUCCGAAUAGUUUUUAUGCAACAAUUGUCUGUGAAAUUGACACCAGGCAAUUGUAAAUAUAAUAGUGACAAACAUGAUAGUGAUAAAAAUCCUUAAUAGACAUCAGAGAUCUGCAUUCUAGUUUCAGCUCUAACAGUAAUAUGCUAUGUGAUCCAACUGAAUUCCUUCUAAUUUCUGAGUUUUAGCUGCCUUAGGUAUAAAAGGAAAAGAAUAUGCCCCUGUUUUUCUUACCAUUCCAGUGAAGUACUUCCUAUCAGUGACUCUUGAUGCUGGUUUCACAUUGAAAUGGCUGGAGUUUUUGUUUGUUUGUUUGUUUUUGUGUACUUAAGUUCAGGGGUAUAUGUGCAAAUUAUGCAGGAUUGUUGCAUAGUUACUACAUGCAAUGUGGUUUGCUGCCUCCAUCCCCCCAUCACCCACAUCUGUCAUUUCUUCCCAUGUUAUCCCUCCCCUGCUUCCCUACCCCUGAACUGUAUCUCCCCUAGGCCCCGCACAAAAGACCCCAGUGCAUGAUGCUCCCCUCCCUGGGUCCAUGUGUUUUCAUUGUUCAACACCCACCUAGGAGUGAGAACAUGUAGUGUUUGGUUUUCUGUUCCUGUGUCAGUUUGCUGAGAAUGAUGGUUUCCAGAAUCAUCCAUGUCCCUACAAAAGACACAAACUCAUCAUUUUUUAUGGCUGCAUAAUAUUACAUGAUGUAUAUGUGCCACAUAUUCCUUGUCCAGUCUAUCAUCGAUGGGCAUUUGGGUUGGUUCCAGGUGUUUGCUAUUGUAAACAGUGUUCACAAUGAACAUAUGUGUGCAUGUAUCUUGAUAACAGAAUGAUUUAUAAUCCUUUGGAUACAUAUCCAUUAAUGGAAUUGCUGGGUCAAAUGAAUUUUCUAUUUCUAGAUCCUUGAGGAAUCCCACACUGUCUUCCACAAUGGUUGAACUGAUUUGAACUCCCACCAACAGUGUAAAAGUGUUCCUAUUUCUCCACAUCCUCUCCAGCAUCUGUUGUCUUCAGAUAUUGUAAUGAUCGCCAUUAUAACUGGUGUGAGAUGAUAUCUCAACAUGGUUUUGAUUUGCAUUUCUCUAAUGACCGGUGAUGAGCAUUUUUUCAUAUGUUUGUUGGCCUCAUAGAUGUCUUCUUUUGAAAAAGUGUCUGUUUAGAUUCUUCAUCUACUUUUGAAUGGGUUUGUUAGUUUUUUUCUCAUAAAUCUGUUUUAGUUUUUGUAGAUUCUAGAUAUUAGCCCCUUUGUCAGAUGGGUAGAUUGCAAAAACCUUUUCCCAUUCUGUUGGUUGCCAUUUUACUCUAAUGAUUGUUUCUUUUGCUGUACAGAAGCUCUGGAGUUGAAUUAGAUCUCAUUUGUCUAUUUUGGCUCUUCUUGCCAAUGCUUUUGGGGUUUUAGUCAUGAAGUCCUUGCCUAUGCCUAUGUCCUGAAGGGUUUUGCCUCGGUUUUCUUCUAGAGGUUUUAUGGUGUUAGGUUUUAGGUUUAAGUAUUUAAUCCAUCUGGAGUUAAUUUUAGUGUAAGGUGUCAGGAAGGGGUCCAGUUUCUGCUUUCUGCACUUGGCUAGCCAGUUUUCCCAACACCAUUUAUUAAACAGGGAAUUCUCUCCCAAUUCCUUGUUUUUCUCAGGUUUGUCAAAGAUCAGAUGGUUGUAGAUGUGUGGUGUUGCCUCUGAGGCCUUCAUUCUGUUCCAUUAGUCUAUUGGUUUUGGUACCUGUAGCAUGCUGUUUUAAUUACUGUAGCCUUGUAGUAUAGUUUGAAGUCAGGUAGCAUGGUGCCUCCAGCUUUGUUCUUUUUGCUUAGGAUUGUCUUGGCUAUGUGGGCUCUCUUUUAGUUCCAUUUGAAGUUUAAGGUGGUUUAUUCCAAUUCUAUGAAGAGGGUCAUUGGUAGCCUGAUGGGAACAGUAUUGAAUCUAUAAAUUACUUUGAGCAAUGUGGUCAUUUUCAUGAUAUUAAUUCUUCCCAACCAUAAGCAUGGAAUGUUUUUCCAUCUCUUUGUGACCUCUCUUAUUUCCUUGAGCAGUGGUUUAUAGUUCUUAUUGAAGAGAUCCUUUACAACCUUUGUUAGUUGUAUUCCUAGGUAUUUUUUUCUCUUUGUAGCAAUUAUGAAUGGGAGUUCACUCUUGAUUUGGCUCUCAGUCUCUUAUUGGUGUAUAGGAAGGCUUGUGAUUUCUGCACAUUGAUUUUUUUAUCCUGAGACUGUUUAAGUUGCUUAUCAGUUUAAAAAUAUUUUGGGAUGAGAAAAUGGGGUCUUCUAAAUAUAGAACCAUGUUGUCUGCAAAUAAAGACAAUUUGACUUCCUCCUUUCUUAACUGAAUACCUUUUAUUUCUUUUUCUUGCCUGAUUUCUCUGGGUAGAACUUCUAAUACUAUGUUGAAUAGGAGUGGUGAGAGAGGGCAUACUUGUCUAGUGCCAGAUUCCAAAGGGAAUGCUUUCAGUUUUUGCUCAUGCAGUAUGAUAUUGGCUGUAGGUUUGUCGUAAAUAUCUUUUAUUAUUUUGAGAUAUGUUCCAGUGAUACCUAGUUCAUUGAGAGUUUUUAGCAUAAAGUGCUGUUGAAUUUUGUCGAAGGUCUUCUCUGCAUCUAUUGAGAUAAUCAUGUGGUUUUUGUCUUUGGUUCUGUUUAUGUAGUUGAUUACUUUCAUAGACUUGCCUAUGUUGAUCCAGCCUGGCAUCCCCAGGAUGAAGCCUAUUUUAUCAUGAUGGAUAAGGUUUUUGAUGUGCUGUUGCAGUCAGUUUGCCAAUAUUUUAUUGAAGAUUUUUUCAUCUAUGUUCAUCAUGGAUAUUGGCAUGAAGUUUUCUUUUUUCAUUGAGUCUCUUUAAGGUUUUGGUAUCAGGAUGAUGAUGGUUUCAUAAAAUAAUUUGAGAAGGAUUCCUUCUUUUUGGAUCAUUUGGAAUAGUUUCAGAAGGAGUGGUACCAGCUCCUCUUUGUAAGUCUGGUAGAAUUUGACUGUGAACCCAUGUAGACGUGUGCUUUUUUUUGGUUGGUAGGCUAUUAAUUGUUACCUCAACUUUAGCCCUUGUGAUUGGUCUAUUCAGGGUUUCAGAUUCUUCUGGUUUAGGAUUGGGAGAAUGCAAUUGACCAGGAAUUUAUCCAUUUCUUCCAGGUUACUGGUUUAUGUGCAUAGAGUUGUUUGUAGUAAUCUCUGACGGCAGUUUGUAUUUCUGUGGAAUCGGUGGUGAUAUACCCUUGAUUGUUUUUUAUUGCAUCUAUUUGAUUCUUCUCCCCUUUUUAUUAAUCUUGCCAGAUAUCUGUCUAUUUUGUUGACCUUUUUAAAAAACAAGCUCCUGGAUUUACUGAUAUUUUUUUUUGAAGGGUUUUUUGUGUCUCUGUCUCCUUCAGUUCUAUUCUGAUGUUAGUUAUUUCUUGUCUUCUGCUAGCUUUUGAUUUUUGUUUAGAUCUUGCUCCUCUAACUCUUUCAGUUAUGAUGAUAGAGUGUUGAUUUUAUUUAUUGCUAUGACUUUCCCUCUAGACUCUGUUUUAAAUGUGUCCCAGAGAUUCUGGUACAUUGUGUCUUCAUUCUUAUCGGUUUCAAAAAACAUCUUUAUUUCUGCCUUAAUUUCAUUGUUUAUACAGUUGACAUUCAGGAGCCAGUUGCUCAGUUUCCAUGAAGUUGUGCAGUUCUGAGUUAGUUUCUUAAUCCUGAGUUAUAAUUUGAUUGCACUGUGGUCUGAGAGACUGUCAUGAUUUCUGUUCUUUUGCAUUUGCUGAGAUUAUGUGGUCCAAUUACGUGGUCCAUUUUAGACUAGGUGUAAUGUGAUGCUGAGAAGAAUGUAUAUUCUGUGGAUUUGAGGCAGAGAGUUCUGUAGAUGUCUAUUAGGUCUGCUUGGUCCAGAUCUGAGUUCAAGUCCUGAAUAUCCUUGUUAAUUUUCUAUCUGGUUGAUCUGUCUAAUAUUGACAGUGGAGUGUUAAAGUCUCCCACUAUUCUUGUGUGGGAGUCUAAGUCUCUUUUUAGGUCAUUAAGAACUUGCUUUACAUAUCUUGGUGCUCCUGUAUUCAGUGUGUAUAUAUUUAGGAUAGUUAGCUCUUCUUGUUGCAUUGAUCCUUUUACCAUUAUGUAAUGUCCUUCCUUGUCUCUUUUGAUUUUUGUUGGUUUAAGGUCCAUUUUAUCAGAGACAAGGAUUGCAACUUCUGCUUUUUUUGCUCUCCAUUUGCAUGGUAAAUCUUCCCCCAUUCCUUAAUUUUGAGGCUAUCUGUGUCCUGGCACGUGAGAUGGGUUUCCCAAAUUCAGCACACCAAUGGGUCUUGACUUUUUGUCCAAUGGGCAUUUAACCCAUUUACAUUUAAGGUUAAUAUUGUUAUGUGUGCAUUUGAUCCUGCUUUUUUGAUGUUAGCUGGUUGUUUUGCCAUUAGUUGACAUGAUUUCUUCUUAGUAUUGAUGAUCUUUAAAAUUUGGUAUGUUUUUUGGAGUGGCUGGUACUAGUUGUUCCUGUUUACGUUUAGUGCUUCUUUCAGGAGCUCUUGUACAGCAGGCCUGGUGGUGACAAAAAUCUCUCAGCAAUUGCUUGUUCUUAAAGGAUUUUAUUUCUCCUUCACUUAAGAAGCUUAGUUUGGCUGGAUACCAAAUUCUAGGUUGAAGGUUCUUUUCUUUAAGGAUGUUGAAUAUUGGCCCCCACUCGCUUCUGGCUUAUAGUGUUUCUGCCAAGAGAUAUACAGUGAGUCUGAUGGGCUUCCCCUUCUGGGUAGCCUUUCACUCUGGCUGCCUUUAGCAUUUUUUUCUUCAUUUCAGCCCUGGUGAAUCUGAUGAUUAUGUGCCUUGGGGUUGCUCUUUUUGAGGAAUAUCUUUGUGGUGUUCUCUGUAUUUCCUGGACUUGAAUGUUGGCCUGCCUUGCUAGGUUCCAACCUAGCAAGUUCUUCUGGAUAAUAUCCUGAAGAGUGUUUUCCCGGUUGAAUUCAUUCUCUCUGUCACAUUCAGGUAUACCUAUCAAAUAUAGAUUAGGUCUUUUCACAUAGUCUCAUAUUUCUUGGAGGCUUUGCUCAUUGCUUUUUACUUCUUUUUCUCUAAUCUUGACUUCUCAUUUUAUUUCAUUUAGUUGAUCUUCAGUGUCUUAUACCCUUUCUUCCACUUGGUCAAUUCAGCUAUUGAAACUUAUAUAUGUUUUGCAAAGUUCUCUUGUUGUGUUUUUCAGCUCUAUCAAGUUGUUUAUAUGCUUCUCUAAGCUGUUUAUUCUUAUUAGCAUUUUGUCUCACCUUUUUUCAAAGUUCUGAGUUUUUUUGCAUUGGGUUAGAACAUGUUCUUUUAGCUCAGUGACGUUUAUUAUUACCCACCUUCUGAAGCCUGCUCCUGUCAAUUCAUCAGACUCAUUCUCCAUCCAGCUUUGUUCCCUUGCUGGUGGGGAGUUGUGAUCCCUUAGAGGAGGAAAGCCAUUCUGAUUUUUGGUGUUUUCAUCCUUUUUUGCACUGGUUUCAUCCCAUCCUCAUGGAUUUAUCUACUUGUUGUCUUUGUAGUUUAUGACUUUCAGAAGGGGGCUCUGAGUGGACAUUCUUUUUGUUGAUGUUGAAGCUAUUUCUUUCUGUUUUUUAGUUUUCCUUCUAACAGUCAGGCCCCUCUGCUGCAGGACUGCUGGAGGUCCACUCCAGACCCUGCUUGCCUGGGGAUCACCCAUGGGGGCUUCUGAAUAGUAAGGGUUGCUUUUGUGUCUUCUUCUGUUAUCUUUGUCCCAGAAGCAUACCCAUCAGAUGUCAGCGUGAACUCUCCUUUAUGAGGUGUCUCUUUGGAUAUAUGGGGGUUGGGGAGCUGCUUGAGGAGACAGUCUGUCCCUUAUAGGAACUCAAGUGCUGUGCUGGUAGCUCUGUUGUUCUGUUCAGAGCUGCUAGGCAGGUACAUUUACAUCUGCUGCAGUAGAACUCAUAACUGCCUUUUUUCCCAAGUGCUUGUCCUGGGAAGGUGGGGCUUUAUUUAUAAAUUCCUGACAUGCUGCCACUUUUUUUCAGAGAUGCUCUGCCCAGCAAGGAAGUAGUGUAGUCACAGUCUGCCAGUAGAGGUAUUGAUGAGCUGCUGCAGGCCGCUUUGUAAAAUUCCUUGCAGUUUUGUUUACAGAUGUACAGUUAGAACUGUCUUGGUAAUGGUGGUCUGCCUCAGUAAUGGUGGACUGCUUCAGUGAUGGAGGAGUGCCUCGGUAAUGGUAGACUCCUUGGUAAUGGUGGACACCCUUCCUCACACUGAGCUGGACCAUCCCAGGUCCAGCUGCACUUACUGCAAAACUCUCAAUCCAAAGCAUUUCAGAUUGCUGGUCUUUGUGGGGUUGGGACCUGCUGAGCUAGAUCACCUGACUCCCUAUUUCAGCCCCCUCUUUUUCAGUUGAAUGAGCAGCUCUGUCUCCCAGGUGUUCCAGGUGCCAGUUGAAAUGGUCGCCCAGAUUUGUGUGAGUUUUUGUGAGGAAACCCAUGGCACCAGCUGAAACAGCUGUGCUGGAAACUCAUGGCACUUUUCGGCCCAGGAAUCUUCUGGUCUGUGGGCAGUAAAAACUAGUUUGGAACCUACCCUCUGCAUUGUUCUCACUGGGAACUGCACUCCAGAGCUGUUCCUAUUCAGCCAUCUUGGAUCUUCUCAAGAGUUUUAAUUUAAAUAAAGUAAAAACAAAAACCAAAUGCUCAGGUUCUUAGUCUUAAGAGAUUUUGAUUCCAACAUGUUUGAAAUAGGGGCUGGAUUCAUGUGCUGAAGAACACUGAAAUUUAAACAGUACCCCAGAUUAUUAUAAUGAGUGCCAAGAUGUCCUAUAUGAAGAGAGGGUGCAUAUAUACUCUAGUAAGGUAAAGGGGCACAGUUGGAAAGAGUCUAGUAUUUUAAAAAACUCAGUUUCUUUGAAGUGUCACAAUGUAUCUUUAAAGUAGCCUCGAAUUUUAUUUUAUUAAAAAUAUAUCUGUUAUUAUUUUACUCUUAUCCUUAUUUUUCCAAUAUCUUUUCUAGAAUGAUGUGUAAUGUUUUUCUGGUAGCAUUAUAUUCUCUGGAGCCCCACUGAAGACAUACAUUCCAGACUGACAAACAUGUGGCUGGAAAAUCCCGGAUAUCAUUACCAACUCAAACACCUAUUCAGAAAUGUUUGGAACUAGAUACAUAUUGCCCAACUUUAAAUGUGUGAUUUCCACUCUGGAUCUCCCAUACAAAAUGACAGUUGCAUUGCUCAUGCCUACACAGUGAAAUGAGGUGUUGAGAGUUUUUUUUAAAUUAGUGUCUAAUUAACUCUGAGCUGCUGGCAAAUAAAAUAAUGUUGAUUUUAUUACAUUGGGCAUCAUACUUUAAAAAGCUAACUCUAUAGAAAUAGGAAAUUUUAUGAAAGCAUUGGCAGCUGUGGUGGAAUUCAAAAGUAUGCUCACAAUCUCUUCCCAACUCCCACCAGCCCUCUUUUGAAGAAUAGUCUGCUUUCCAGACUGAUUCUCAAAGUUUUAUAAUAUAGAAGCAAGUGAAUAGACUAAGAAAAAUAAAUGCAAAAAGGAGCAAGUGGAGAGGAAAGGUUUAACAGGUUCAGUGACAUGAGGAACAGAAUAAAAGAACAAAAUCUAUACAGGCUUUAAAAGCAUUGAGUGAAAUAUUGCAUAGAAGAGCCUUAGGUAGGAGAAUAAGUUGCACGAGACAGGUCAUAUGAAUUGGCUCUUGUUUCAUGUCUCUUGAGAAACAUAAAAACUGAAAUACUUUAAAGUUAAUUUGGACUCUUUGGACUCUAUCUCCAUGGCAGUUACUUGGGAGCAUAGACUAACCCAUGUGAGCAAUGCAUGUGUAAAGAUUUCACAGCUUUUCAGCCUUCAGUGUAUCAAACUGAAAGUAAUGUAAAUCAAAGCCAGUGGCUACAGAUUCUGCAGGUGCAUGGGGAGCCACAUUAGUAACUGCAGGGAGUACACAAUGCUGAAAACAGAUUCUGGUUCUAUAGUUGAGUGUGACUGCUAGGAUUAGGGGCCCUGAUCCACAGUGAGAUGAGCAGCUUGCAUUAGGCAAAUAAAGGAGAUAGAAAAAUAUUCAGGCAGUGCAGGAGGAGUGCUUAAACCCAGAAGUUCAAGACCAUCUUGGGAAACAUAUCAAGACAUAGUCUGUAUAAAAAAUAAUAAAAAAAUAACCAGGUAGUGUGGUGCCUGUAGUCUCAGCUACUUGGGAGGCUGAGGGAGGAAGAUUGCUUGAGGCUACAGCAAGCUGUGAUUGUGCUGCUGCACUCCAGCCUGGGUGAAAAAGUAAGACCCUGUCAUAAAAUAAGAACAAAAAUUAGGGUCUUUAUUCUGCAACAAUAGAAAUGAUACAAUGUAAACUACAGAGAAAAAAUAGACUGGAUAAAAUAAUGAACAGAGCCUCAGGGACAUAUGGAACUAUAAGACAAGCUCCAACUUUCACAUCACUGAAGUCCUGAAAUGAGAGGAGGAAGAUAGCAUAGCUGAUAAAGUACUUGAAAUAUCUCAAUUUGGCAAAAGGUUUAAGCAUACAGAUUCAAGGAACAGAGUGAAUCCCCAAGAGAAAAAAAGCAAAGAAAUUCACACCAAGAAACUAUGGUUCAACUUCUGAAAAUGAAAGACAAAAUAAUUAUGAAAGCAGAGAGAGAUAAAUGACAGUUUACUUGUAGAGGAGAAAUAACGCAAAUGACAACAGAUUUCUCACCACAAACUGUAGAGGCUAGAAGGAAUGGCACAACAUUAUCAAGUACCAAAAGAAAUGUCAACCCCAAAUUCUAUUGCCAGCAAAAGCAUUCUUCAGGAAAAAAAGGCAAUAAGGACAGUUUUGGAAGGAAUAAAACAAAUACAAUUUGUUGCUAUCAAACUUACUCUAAAAUAACAGCCAAAUAAAGUUCUGUAAACAGAAAGAAAAUGAUCACAUAAGGAUUCUGGAACAUUAAAAAUGAAGAAGGAACAAAGUAAGUAAAAUACAUGGGUAAAUACAAUAGACUUUCUUCUCCUCUUGGGCUUUCUACAUUAUUAUAUUUCACAGUAAUAGCAAAAAUUGCAGCACUGUCUGAUGUAGUCCUAAAUUUCUGUAAAGAAAGUAUUUAAGAUGAUCACAUUACAAAUUGCUGUUGACUGAAUUGUGUCCCAUGCUCUAAAAAUGAUAUGUUGAAAAUCUAAUCCCUGAUGUGUUGGUGUCUGGAAGUAGGGUCUUUUGGAGAUAAUUCGUUUUAGAUUAGGCCAUGAGGGUGAGGCCCUCUUGUUAGAAUUAGUGCUGUUACAAGAUGAGACACUAGGGAGUUUGCUCUUUUUCAGCCAUGUGAGGACACAGGGAGAAAGCGAACAUAUGCAGUAUGGUAGGAGAAACCUCACUAGAAACAGACCAUGCUUUUACCGUUGUGCUAGAAACUUCCAGCACUCCAAACUCUGAUACAUAAAUUACUAUUGUUAAACCACUCAGUCUUUGGUAUUUUUUAAUGGCAGCCUGAGCUUACUAAGACACAAAUGAAGAGCAGUAAAAGGAUAUAAAAGAAGGCAAGAUUUAUGCACUUUAAUGAGUAAAAUGAUGACAGGAAUAGCCUGCAUUAAAUUAUGUAUAAGUAAUAUGAUAGUGAUAUGGUUUGGAUUUGUGUACCUGCCCAAAUCUCAUGUCAAAUUGUAAUCUCCAAUGUUGGAGGAAGGGCCUGGUGGAAGGUGAUUGGAUCAGGGGAGCAGAUUUCCCCCUUACUGUUCUCAUGACAAUUAGUGAGUUCCCCUGAGAUCUGGUUGUUUAAAAAUAUGUAGCACCACCCGCUUCACCCUUUUCUCCCUGCUUCAUCCAUGUAGGACAUGCCUGCUUCACCUUCACCUUCUGCCAUGAUUGAAAGUUUUGGGAAGCCUCCCCAGCCAUGUUUCCUAUACAGCCUGCAGAACUGGAUCCCCAAUUCCUGGACUAUGGACCAGUUCUGGUCUGUGGCUUGUUAGGAACUGGCUUGCACAGCAGGAGCCUGUUGAAGAUAUUAUACCACUCCCUCCUGGUCUGUAAAGUUUCUGCUGAGAAAUUUACUGAUAACCUUAUAAAUUCUCCGGUGUAUGUGGAGACUUCAUAUUUGAGAAAUGAAAACUUACAUUUAUGGGAGAAAAAAUAUGUCUUGGAUUUGCUUCAAAAUAAGCCAGGUUGCAGAUGGUAGUCUGAGAGGGACAGAAUGAGAGGGAGCAGGAGAAAGAAGUGAAUAAAUAAGAAUGCAUCUGGAGAAUGAGGCAUCUUGGAAUCUGGAAAGUGAGGCAUUCUGGAAGAGAGAUGAAGGUAAAAUUUUAAAGGUGCCCUGGAGAUCAAAUGAACAAAGUACGUGACUGCUUUGAAAAUUGCAAAGAAGUAAAUAAGUUACAAAUGGGAGACCCAGAUCCAAUCUGGCCCACAGAUGUUUUAAAUUUGGCUUGAAAGAGUGGUCCUUCCAAAAAGAAAAGUCUUGAUAAAUGAUGAGCAAUGAGAAGGCCAUUUAGCAGGGCAUGUCCUCCCCUGUUCAACACUGGCUUCACCAGUCCCAGACUCUCCAUAUAUUUUUUUCUACCUUUCAUGCCAUUGCAGGCAUUUGUUUCUACUCUACUAGAUAUGGAACAUCCUUUAGGAUUAAGAUGGUAUAAGAUGAAAUUCACUCGGGUCACCAGUAUGACUCAAUCUUCCAUAAAAUACUAACCAGCAGAAGGCCUACACAAGGAGUAAGGAGGUGGAGGCUUGAGAAUGUGAAACUCCCAGCCACACUUCAGCUUAGAUGACCAAGAGCAGCAGAGAAAAGAGUGUGGUUGCAUGUGAACUUGUCUGGUUUUCCCAGAGAUUGGGAAAGAAGAGGGGAGAGGAUUCAGAAAUCCCCCUUUUUAGGAAUUCUCAAGAAAUAGAUGCCAUGCCAGCUAAGAUUAAGAAUAAACCUAAAUGUAUAUUGGAGUAAUUAUACAAGAGAGGAAAAUUCAUUUUGGCAUCUGAAAGAACUGUUGGUUAAGCAGCAAUAAGAAUUUAAAAGCCAAUCUCUGAAAGGCCUCAAAUGAGCGCCUCUGGAGUGUUCUGGCAAGCUGAUGAAGAGGACAAAUGCAGGAAUUGCAAUUCACAUAGCAACUGGCCAAUCAUCCUGAAAAUAAAUCUACUCUAGUCGUUAUUUAUCCAGCAGUUAUCUUUGAUUGCUAAAUAAAUCUGCGGCAUGUAA